rnacentral:rRNA from 1 species
UACGAGGGGGGCAAGCGUUGUUCGGAAUUAUUGGGCGUAAAGAGCACGCAGGCGGUCUUGUAAGUUUCGAGUGACAGGUGGUGGCUUAACUGCCACAGGGCUUGGAAAACUGUAAGACUUGAGAACUUCAGAGGGAUGCGGAAUUCCAGGUGGAGCGGUGAAAUGCGUAGAGAUCUGGAAGAACACCAAAGGCGAAGGCAGCAUCCUGGGAAGAAUCUGACGCUGAGGUGCGAAAGCCAGGGGAG